ensembl:lncRNA
CGAGAGGGCGCGGGAGGCGGUGCUAGGGCCGGCAGCCCUAGCUUAGCCCGGCCCAGCCCUACCCUAUUGGGGGCAGGGAGAGUCUUCCCCCCUAGAGAGAAGGCUAAAGAAGAUGAAUUCCCCACCCACUCUUUCCGGACCUUUCUUUCCCACUCCCUCCCCACGAAACAAACCAGAGCCCAGAAAGAAGCAUGAUUUCACCGGGCGCUUUAAAUGUAGAAAGUGUCUGAAAUCCACACCCCCGUCCCCUUACACAUCCCGGGUUCCUCCAGAUGCUGUAUCCCACAGCUUCCUCCCCGCCCCCAAACAAGUUCUUACUGGGCGGCUCUCUGGCGCCGUCUCCGAAAUGAGCUCACUGCACCUCGAGGGACCUCGACUCCUUAUAAAUCAUGUCAAGACUCUUCAAGUCUACUCCUGAAGGUGUGAGGAAAACUCAUCAAAAUGAUCCGACUAAGGUCCAGAGGAGUUUCCUAGGAGCCUAGAUUUGGAGCUAGAAGAGGACCUCAGUGAUCAUUGAGUCUACAGAUGAGGAAACCGAGGCCCAGAGGUCAAGGACUUGCGCAGGGACACACAGCUGGUCUGUGGUGGGAUUUGAAUUUAGGGCUUCCUGACUCCAAACAAGCCUUGUAGCCACAUUGCCUCUCAGUUUUGAUUUUCAUGGGCGGAUGGGUCCUUGCCCUGACAGAAUCAUGGGUCACUGAGUAGUGAAAAUAUUUUAGUUUUAGGGUUUUGUUUUGGUUUUUUUGGCUAGGCAAUGGGGUUAAGUGACUUGCCCUGAGUCACACAGCUAGUAUUAAGUGUCUGAGGCUGGAUUUGAACUCAGGUCGCCCUGACUCCAAGGCCAGAGCUCUAUUCACUGCACUGCCUAGCUGCCCCUAGUAUUGAAAAUGUUGGUGGGGAUUGCUGUGUUCCAUCAGUGUGUUCUAUUUGUAAAGGCAUAUAGCACAGUGCCUGGCAUGUUGGUUCAGUUGGUGUUCAGUUGUGUCCGACUCUUCAUGACCCCAUUUUGGGUUUUCUUGGCAAAGAUACUGGAGUGGUUUGCCAUUUCCUUUUCCAGCCCAUUUUCCAGAUGAGGUACAUAGUAGGCGAUCUGUAAAUGCUUAUUCCCUUCUCUUCCCCCCUCUCCUGUGUGUAUGCUCAGUUACCCACACAACAUUAGGCCAACGUCCCCAAUAGCACACUCAGUUCUGGAACGCAUCCAGUCCCCCACCAUUGCAGCUAGCUGCUGUCUAACCAGUACAACUACAUUUGCCAAAUGUUAUAGAUAAAAAGCAGAAUUUGAAUCUAGUUCCUUCAUAAUCCUAAUCCAAUACUCUCUCCCCUAUGCUAUACUUCGAAAAGUAGCCACAGUCACAUUUUUUCAGUGUAAAUAUGUAUAGUAGAGAAAUAGUGCUAGGUUUGGAAUCUGAGGUCCUGGGUUUGAGUACCCACUUUACCUUUCCUUGUCAUUCUUAAUUUUCAGGGUUUCCCUCUGAGCGUGUCCAGUUUUUCCCGUCUCCAUGUUGUUUGUACAUAGGUGUUUGCAGGUUGUCUCUCCUCUCCCAUUUCAGGACCCUUUGAGACCAGGGACUGUUUUUUGCCUUUCGUUGUAUACCCAGCACUUAGUAGGUGCUUAAUAAAUGCUUAUUGACUUGACC